ensembl:lncRNA
CAUUCUUAUUUUUGUUAAUGCAGUUGCAACAAGCAAGUGUUGAUUUUCCCCAUAUUAAAGUANGAACACACAAAAUACACAUUUAUAAUAGGCAUGUAUGUAUGUAUGUAUGCAAAUCUCUAAGUCUCCAACUAAAAAGAGUUGAACUGCACACUCACUCAAGUAUUUUGUCAAAUAAAACAUACAUACAUCAUGCGUAAUAAAACACACAUUAAAAACUUUGGUCCCAUAUGAUUUGAAUGUAGAUUUUGGUGUGAGUUGUUUCUUAUAAAUGAGAUGAUCUAAUUGUCUAAUGUAUAUCUUAAUAUACAGUUUUCUUAAAAUAGCUUACUGAUCUGGACAAAUGUAUGUGUAUCUCAUAAAGGUGUGUGUUUGCUUUAGCUGCUUAAGAAAAUUAAAAUCUCUCUUUUUAAACUUGUAUAAACUAAAACACCCAUCUCUUUCUCUCUUUAGGGGAAGAUGUUAUCUUCACUCACCUGACUUCAAUUCUGGACAGCACACCCACACACACCCACAGUGACCAGAUCAGAUUCAUUAUGGAUGUCCAGAGGUAGGUCUUGUGUGUUAGUUGUGCUCUGCAUGGUGUCAUAUUCACAUUGUUUUUAAUGUCAAAUAGUUUAUCCAUAAUGUUAGACCAUUGCUCUAUAGUUUUGUGCUUAAUAUAGAAAAGGCACUUUUGAUUUUGUUGUUAAAAAAAAAAAAAAAAAAAAAAAAAAAACAUGCAAAAUGGUGCUUGGCUUAUUUGGGCUGUGAUAAAUCUCAAUUCUUUCUCUGGAAGUCCAUCACAUGUGCUCUUGCUGUUGUGGAACGUGUCCAUCUCGGAGGCUGAGGAGAAAUUCCUGCGAGGACCUGUCAUUGACGCAAGUGAGCGGGAGCACUUUGACAGCAGGAUAAAAAAACAAUUAAAGAAGAGUGGCAAGCCAUAUGAGAGUCAUCUACAGGAGUCAUGCUGUUAAGAAAUAACCAAGUCAUGGUGUUAAUAAAUAUUUUUUUUGUGAACA